rnacentral:rRNA from 1 species
GUGCCAGCAGCCGCGGUAAUACGGAGGAUGCAAGCGUUAUCCGGAAUGAUUGGGCGUAAAGCGUCCGCAGGUGGCUGUGUAAGUCUGCUGUCAAAGCGUCUGGCUUAACCAGAUAAAGGCAGUGGAAACUACACGGCUAGAGUGCGUUCGGGGCAGAGGGAAUUCCUGGUGUAGCGGUGAAAUGCGUAGAGAUCAGGAAGAACACCGGUGGCGAAGGCGCUCUGCUAGGCCGCAACUGACACUGAGGGACGAAAGCUAGGGGAGCGAAUGGGAUUAGAAACCCUUGUAGUCC